rnacentral:lncRNA from 1 species
UUGAGGGACAGUGAGAGAGGUUGGAGAAGAGAGUAAGAAGAGGCCGCUUACCUGAUUUAAAAUUGGCGAGAUGUUCGUUCCUUGGGCUGGUUGGUCUGAGGACCUGAGUCACGGCACCAAAUUUCAUGCGCGUCCUUGUGAAGAGACCACCAAACAGGCUUUGUGUGAGCAACAUGGCUGCUUAUUUCACUUGGGUGCAGGCGGGCUGAGUCCGAAAAG